rnacentral:rRNA from 1 species
GACGAACGCUGGCGGCGUGCCUAAUACAUGCAAGUAGAACGCACAGUUUAUACCGUAGCUUGCUACACCAUAGACUGUGAGUUGCGAACGGGUGAGUAACGCGUAGGUAACCUGCCUGGUAGCGGGGGAUAACUAUUGGAAACGAUAGCUAAUACCGCAUAAUAUUAAUUAUUGCAUGAUAAUUAAUUGAAAGGUGCAAUUGCACCACUACCAGAUGGACCUGCGUUGUAUUAGCUAGUAGGUGAGGUAACGGCUCACCUAGGCGACGAUACAUAGCCGACCUGAGAGGGUGAUCGGCCACACUGGGACUGAGACACGGCCCAGACUCCUACGGGAGGCAGCAGUAGGGAAUCUUCGGCAAUGGACGAGAGUCUGACCGAGCAACGCCGCGUGAGUGAAGAAGGUUUUCGGAUCGUAAAGCUCUGUUGUAAGAGAAGAACGGGUGUGAGGGUGGAAAGUUCACACUGUGACGGUAUCUUACCAGAAAGGGACGGCUAACUACGUG